rnacentral:rRNA from 1 species
UUGGAGGGCAAGUCUGGUGCCAGCAGCCGCGGUAAUUCCAGCUCCAAUAGCGUAUAUUAAAGUUGUUGCAGUUAAAAAGCUCGUAGUUGAAUUUCGGGAUUGACGUGAUGGUCAUGCCUUAAGGGGUAUGAACUGUUACAGUUGAUUUCUCACCUUCUGGAGAAACUUGAUGUCCUUUAUUGGAUGUCUUGCGGAUCCAGGACCUUUACCUUGAAAAAAUUAGAGUGUUUAAAGCAGGCAUUUUUGCUCGAAUACAUUAGCAUGGAAUAAUAGAAUAGGACGGCAUGGUUCUAUUUUGUUGGUUUCUAGGAUCACCGUAAUGAUUAAUAGGGAUAGUUGGGGGCAUUAGUAUUCAAUUGUCAGAGGUGAAAUUCUUGGAUUUAUUGAAGACUAACUACUGCGAAAGCAUUUGCCAAGGAUGUUUUCAUUAAUCAAGAACGAAAGUUAGGGGAUCGAAGACGAUCAGAUACCGUCGUAGUCUUAACCAUAAACUAUGCCGACUAGGAAUCAGACGAUGUUAAUUUUUUAAUGACUCGUUUGGCACCUUACGGGAAACCAAAGUGUUUGGGUUC